CUGCGCAUGACGCUUCGUUGCCAUGGUAACGACGACAGCGCCCGGAGCCGACCUGGAGUUUAGCUGCCGGUUUACGGUUUGCUGUACGGUUUUAAAACACCUGCUGAACUAAACUAAACUAAACUAAACCAAUCCCGCAUGUUGUUGUCGUCAUGACUCGUCGUGUUCGUCCCGCGUUGACGGCGCCAUGACGGUCCGCUUCAAGUGUCAGAGUGAAUACCAGAAGAGCUACCGGGCUCCCCGGACCAGGAGUGUGUCUCCUCAGCGCUGCGUCCCGUUUGGUGGCCAGAUGGGUAUCAGCAGAGAAUCAAGUCUCCAGCGUCGCAGGAGACUUGGUCCUGCUGGUCUUGCUCAGUCCUGCACUUCUCUUCUCGGUCCACCUGAUCCACAGCAGCCCUUUACUGGACCAACUGCUCGUGCUCACAGAAGAUCACCUUCCGCUCCAGCUGCUCGGAGCCGCUCAGCCCAGAGGAAGGAGUCUUCCCUGGACUCAGAACCUCCUGAGUCUCGAACAGACCCCAAAUCUCCUGCAGAACCAGAAAAUUUAGCUGGGCCACAACCCACAGCAGAUCCUGGACCUCAAGACACUGGACCACAUCGUGCUCCAGAACCAGGAAGGCCUGGGAAUUCUAAAAAGCCCCACCCCUCCCAGCCUGACAGCCAACCACAGCCCGGCCCUUUGACAGCAGCCAAUGAGCCUGAGCAUGCACUGAGGUGGAGGACGGGGCUCAGGUCAGGAGGUCAGAGGUCAGAGUACCACAGACAGUUCACUUGGAAGAAACCUGCCACUACUGUGUCACCCAUCCUGACUGCAGAACAGCAAGUAAAUACUACAAAUACCACCUCAAACCACUAUAGAGUACAACUACACACUGAAUACACUGACUUCUGUGAACCCCAGGAAAACUCCCACAAACACAUCUUCAGCCCAAAGACUGAUCUUGAAUGAUGUGAGAUUUUUUUUUUCAGGAACAAAUGAACAGCACCUGUUGUCUUUGAAUUAACUUUGUGUUGACUGAACAGACAGGCUGAAUCUGUGUGUAGUUCAGCUGAGUGUCCACCAGGUGGAGGCAGCCGUUUGCUCGCCGGCUCACAUUGAUUCUGUUUGAAAAGUCGCUGAUUUGACAUUUAAUUGAUUUAGUAUUGAAGGAAUCGAUGCUGUUGACCUUUGACCCCCACCACCACUGCAGGUGCUGUACUCCAGCAGCAGAUCUGUCCCUCCCU
rnacentral:lncRNA from 1 species